rnacentral:rRNA from 1 species
AACGAACGCUGGCGGCAUGCCUAACACAUGCAAGUCGAACGAGACCUUCGGGUCUAGUGGCGCACGGGUGCGUAACGCGUGGGAACCUGCCCUUAGGUUCGGAAUACCACCCCGAAAGGGGUGCUAAUACCGGAUAAUGUCUUCUGACCAAAGAUUUGUCGCCUUUGGAUGCGCCCGCGUUGGAUUAGCUAGUUGGGAGGGUAAAAGCCUACCAAGGCGUCGAUACAUAGCUGGGCUCAGAGGAGGGUCCGCCACACUGGGACUGGGCCACGGCCCGGACUACUGCGGGAUGCAGCAGUGCGUAAUAUUGGACAACGGGCUAGGGCCUGAUCCAGCACGGGCGCUUGAGCGAUGAUGUCCUUAGGGUUGGAAAGCUCUUUUAUCCGGGAUGAUAAUGACAGUACCGGGAGAAUAAGCUCCGGCUAACUCCGUG